GGGGCCGUAGCUCAGUUGGGAGAGCGCAUGAAUGGCAUUCAUGAGGUCAGGGGUUCGACUCCCCUCGGCUCCA
rnacentral:tRNA from 1 species